rnacentral:lncRNA from 1 species
GGAGGAGAAACGAGGCCGCGAGCAACGGCGAGCCCGCGACGGCGAGAAACCGCCAGAGAAAGAGUAGAGACCGAGGCAAGGGCGGCCGUAGAGACUGAGGCGAGAGCGGCCACGGUGAUGCUGCGGGAUCGGCGACAAGGCUGCAACUGCAAGUGAGGAAGGACUGAAGGCGAGGUGGAGGAGGAGGAGAAGGAUUGAGAGGAAGAGGAGAGGAAGGGGGUCGUACAGAGGUCGUCCAGCGAGGAGAUGGAUCGAGAGGAAGACCGUGCGGCGAGGGGAAAAAAGUGAGGAGAGGAAGGGGUUGCGAG